UGGGGAAUAUUGGGCAAUGGGCGAAAGCCUGACCCAGCAACGCCGCGUGAGGGAAGAAGGUUUUCGGAUCGUAAACCUCUGUCCUCAGGGACGAAAGAAAUGACGGUACCUGAGGAGGAAGCCCCGGCUAACUACGUGCCAGCAGCCGCGGUAAUACGUAGGGGGCGAGCGUUGUCCGGAAUGAUUGGGCGUAAAGGGCGCGUAGGCGGCCUGUUAAGUCUGGAGUGAAAUUCCUGCUUUCAAGGUAGGAAGUGCUUUGGAAACUGGCGGGCUGGAGUGCAGGAGAGGUUAGCGGAAUUCCCGGUGUAGCGGUGAAAUGCGUAGAGAUCGGGAGGAACACCAGUGGCGAAGGCGGCUAACUGGACUGUAACUGACGCUGAGGCGCGAAAGUGUGGGGAGC
rnacentral:rRNA from 1 species